UUGUUUUAAUUAUCCAGUUGCUUAACUUCUUUUCUUGUCCGGUUAAAAGUGGGGCAUUUCCUACUUGGCUACUUGCUUCUUUCAACUAACUGAUCGCACAUCUCUCACUAAAUCGAACGGCUACGAUUUGUCAACGUAGAUGGAGUGUAUAUCGUUGAUCCGCAACACGCCGGAGUCCGCUUCCGGUGACCAGAGGUUCCCGGCAGUGGCAGAGGAGGAGGAGGAUCGGUGUAGCUCUUAUCGUCGUCAUCCACGUCUUCGAUCAGGAAGAACAGUGAUGAGUCAGACGUUGAGGGGAAGAGGUACGGAGUAAAUAUAAAUGUGGGCAUAAGAUGGGUUCGAUGCUUUGGAAAAGGUUUUGCCUAGAAGGAAUGGCAUAUCUAAGUUCUAGUGUGAAAAAUCCAAAUUUUUUACCAGCCUUUCGGAUGCCUUGUCUUUCUCGUCCAUUAAAGAUAUUGGUAAGCCUGAUGAUGCAUACACCAGGAAGCGAAAAAAUUUGCUUGCCUUCAAUAACUUUUGGGACAAGAAUUGUGAUAUUACUUUAAGAAGUAACAAUGGCAGGAUAUCAAAAAGUCCUGCCAACUCUAGAAAUGCAUUAACUCAGGCAGAAACCACAAGCCAUUCUGAGAGCAAUAACUGUGAAAUUUCUAUCUCAAAGUCGUCAUCACCUGGUGGAUACCAUGUCAUCUCCACCGCUUAGUGAGAAGUUUGCCCCUGGCGGUCUUUCUCUUUGUCUGAUCUGCAAGGUACAACUGCUGCUGGUCCCAGCAUCUAGGAUUAUGGGUCUAUAACAAAAACAAAUAUAGCAAACUAUACAGAUGCCCUUCACUUUAGAGUCACACUCAGAAUCGAAAGUCAGAUAGAUGUUUAUUGAGAUGGAGAUAUUUGUAAUUUCUGCCUUGCUUUGUUAUUAUAGGCUUCUACCGUUUGUUGUAAUUGCUGCUGUAUAUUAUUAUCAGUUUCUGCUCUCCUGGUCAGCUAUUAUGUAGCUAUAUGAAAUUCCUGCUAAUUCUGAAGAUUCGUUCUCCUUCUCUUCCUGAGUCUCUUGUCCUCGUUUUCUCGUGAGCUUAGUAGUAAAUCAUAGUGAGCAAACUUGGUGGCAACUGAAGAGUUCUGGCACUGUUGCCCAGUGUCAGCUGGUGCACUCAUAUAUCCAAUAUUGCUUUUUUAAUAAAAUUAGGUGUCUUGAGUAAUUAUGAUCUUGAACUUUUUAUUUUUGUGUGGGAGUGUCUGUGCAUGUUGUGCAAAAUAUUUUCCGGAUUUCUGCAGCACACGAAAGGACGUAGUGUUAUGAAGUACUGGAGUACCAAAACCCCUGCACUUCUGAUCACAGCUUCUUUAAGGUAUGGAAUCUGACCUAACUUUAUUUCUACCAGCAGCAAAAUCUUAGUUUGAUUAUAUAUAUUUGUUUUUGUUAAUGAUCUUAGUCUGUUGCUAAUAUUAGCAUGCACUUUUGUCUUGGUAGCCUAUUGUCAGUUUCAUCAAUAAAUGCUUUUUUAUGAUUAGCACUGCAACAUUAUACAUAGUAGAGAGUAAAUAUCCAAACACCUAUACAAGCAAAUGCUGUAAAAAUGGAAGUUUGGGUUUUCUUCAAAUUUCUAGAUUUGUUCCAUAUGGACAUCUUUAGCACUUGCUUUCCAUGAUGAACCUAUGGUGCAGAGUAACUAUAAAUUCAUGGUGCUUGUUGGAGUGGUCGUGGACUGUUGAAAUCAUUUAUGAAGCUUCAUACUAACUGGUGAAAUGGUAAAUGUCAAAUCAAAAGGAUUACAUACACUUAUAGAUCCGUAUUAUCGCAGUCAUAUAUUUUGUAAACUCACGUGGACAGUAAAUAGACUUCAACCUUGUAUCGGAGGAAUUUUUCUAAGGGCAUUUGCUCCAUAUACAGAUAUUAGAGGAAAUAAUGACAUACCUGGUUUUGAGCCUAGUAAUGACAAGCAAAAAUGAAUGAUUAGCAGAAAUAACGUUUUCUUUAGACUUAAUUAUCUGAGACUCGAGGUUAUGAUGAAUGAAAAUAUUUUGGUUGAAUAAGCAGCCAUCAGAUUGGUAAUGAACGGUAUCAAUGAAUAACAAACCAAUUCUUAGGGUACUGUUCGUGAGCAAAUUAUUGAUCUGAGUAACGAAAUUGAGCCAAGUCAGGGUUUUGUCCUUGAGCAAAGUU